rnacentral:rRNA from 1 species
UACAGAGGGUGCGAGCGUUGUCCGGAAUCACUGGGCGUAAAGGGCGCGUAGGCGGCUUGAUAAGCGUGCGGUGAAAGCCCGGGGCUCAACCCCGGGUCGGCCGUGCGAACUGUCGAGCUGGAGCACUGUAGAGGCAGGUGGAAUUCCGGGUGUAGCGGUGGAAUGCGUAGAGAUCCGGAAGAACACCGGUGGCGAAGGCGGGUCUCUGGGCCGAUAUUGACGCUGAGGAGCGAAAGCGUGGGGAGCAAACAGG